GUGAGAAGAGAACCAAAGGAAAGAGCAGGGUAACAAUACCUCAGAGAAGAGAGAAUCCUGGAGAAUAUGGUCCACAGUGUAAUGUUGCAGAGAAAUCAAGAAGAAUCAGAAAGGAUUCACAGAUCUGACAACUAAGAGAUACCUGGUCAGGGCUCCCCUCCAUGGCAAAUGGGACAUUUGUCUAAUGAGUUGUGAACAAAUCUGUGGGUACAGCAAUGGCUCAAGCCUCUGGAAAACUCUGUCCAUUGCCCUGGAAUUCUGGGGGUUUGCCCAAGGCAUCGAGGAGUUUAUUCUACCCUGACACCAUCCUAAUCAGAAAGAAGCAGUUUGCCAAAUCUAGGUGGCACAAUGGGAAGAUGUGGAGUCAGGAGGACAACUUUCCCACUUCAGGCCUGAUAAUCAAUCCACUGCACCAAAGAGAUGAUUAUUCUCUGCAGCCUUCUCCUUCAAAGACGAGAGCAACAGCAAGGGAUUGAUCUCCCCUAACUCUCAGAUCUAGACUUGCCCACCUGCCUGCCAGUCACCAAGCCUCUAAGUCCUCAGGUCUCACCCAACAGGUCCCAUCUCUAAAAGUCCCUCAGAGCCCACAAUUUACAACCAAGACCUCGCUUGGGCUUUUACCAUCCCAGGUUCUCUCCAGACAUCGCUCAAAAAGAGUCUGAGACCCCUGACAUGCAACGUAUUGAUUAGAUGGCUUUCAUUUCCUAGAACAAAGGUUUAGCCCCCCUCCCUUACUGUCCCCUUCAAAGGUUACCCUGUCUGACCAUGGACACAGAAACACAUUGAUAUAAUGGGCGAUUGCCCUAGGUUUCAGCAAUCAGUUGUUGGGUUCUAUUCCAGGAAAAAAAAAAAGCCAUAUUCACCAGCAAUUAAGCCAUUUUCUGGGCAGUUCAAAUGGCAUCACUAGGGUGACGCUCCAAAAAGCAGCAAGCUUGUUUUUCCCUUUUCCUUUCUGAUGGCAAACAGUUAAUGGUGCCUAGGAAGCAUGGGACAUAGAGCGAUUCUCUCCCAGUACAUGGACAGACUCUAAAAGAAUGGGGGGGGGGGACCUGGACAGCCACUUGAGAGACAGUCACACCAAGCAAGCCCUUCCCUAAGUCUCUCCCUGGGAUGAGAAAAUACAAUGAGCCCAGAAUUUCCCUGGGAUUUUCUUAAAUGUCUUACAUUUCUUAAACUAUUUUCUUCUGACUAAUGGGUGGCACUGCCAGGUCUCAGCCCUGAAAAGCCGCUCUGGCCUGCCUGCUUUCAUGUGGGGCGUUUCUAGGAGGCAGAUGUUUUAACUAGCAGGGAAAAGAAAGGUCUGUUUCUUAUUGACGGAGCCCUAGCAUGUGUCACAGUACUUCAAAGAUGCCAGGCCAGAUUGAGCAGGCGACAUCAAAAGCUUUUGACUCGUGCUGGGUAAACUUUGUAUUCUAACAUACAAGUUCUUAUCUAUUCUGCUCCAGACUUGAGAGGGGGAGGCUGAAUCUAACCAAAUCACAUUGUUUUUCCUCACAGCUGCCAACUUGGAAAAAUAUCAGGGCACAAAGGGACCACUAAAAAAAAAAGGGAGAGACAUACAGAAAGAGACGUGUUUUGUUAGUUCCUAAGCAACACAAUAUUGCCAAGAUGGGGGCUCUUAGGAAAACGAGAAGACGUUAGCUACACUUCCUAUUGAAGCCGCACCGUUAUACCCUAAUUUGUAUUUUUUUAAAAUACUAAUUAACAGAAUGUGUUUGGAUAAAGUCUGACUGUGCCACCGUCAGAAAUUCUUAGUGUAUGGAUAACUCACUUUCUUUGAGCCCAAAUCAGGCACUUUAACCCUAACUCAAUUCAAACAAAAUGAGGACACUGUUGUUGUUGUUGUUGUUGUUUUUAAACCACAUUCAUUUAAUAUUAUUUUUAAAUAGCUCGAAGAAGUUAGUCAUGUCUUCAGAAGAUUCUUUUAUUUCCAUCAUAAAAGUUUUAAAAUGUGUUUCAUUUAAACAUAAUAUACUAGACCAGUAACCAUCCUGUAAUAGAAUUUUCCCCAUUCUCAUAACCAGAGAAAAGUAAGGAUAACAUCUUUCUCCCAAAGUCUGUGUGUUCUUUGAUCGUAUGGCUUUGAUUAAAAGUGCAGCCAGAUCCACUUAUUUAUUUCCUUAGUGCAGCAUGUGUAGAAAUGCGUAGGUAUGCGUGGGGGUCCAGGUGGAUCAGUGUUGCGCAGACAGCAGUUACCCAUGAGCCUGGGGGUUUUAUUCUAUAGUGUAGAUAUAUUUGAUUCUCCUAGAAGUCUUGAUUUUGUGAUAGUUACAAGUGACCAAGAUGCUUUGAAAUAAUUUUCAUCUUUUCCUUGAUUUUCCAGCAAUUUUCCAGCAAAUUAAUCUCUUCUUUUUUUUCAGUAAAAUAAAUAGAGGCUGCUGUUGUUGAGUCA
ensembl:lncRNA